UCUUUGACCCGCGAACAGUCGGCUGA
rnacentral:sRNA from 1 species